GAAUCUCAAGGAAUUGUUAUGGAGAAUCCGGAAGUUGUUAUAACUACUACUACUAGUCUCAAUAGCAAGCAAAGGCGAGACGUGUGUGUGGAGAGUGCGGCAAUGUCAACAAAAUAGGAUGCAAGCAAUGUGUCUGUGGAUUUUUGUUUCAAAGAAACAGUCAUUUAAUUCCUGAUCGGGAAGAAAAACAUAAACUGAAGAAAAAACGCUUUUCACGGGUGCUGAAGGCAAUACUCAACAACAUGGCAUUAAUGGAAGACGUUUUUGAUGCUGAAGCAUUCGUUUUCAUCAAGAGAAAAGUUAAUAUUGGACCAAAAGUGACAACUCAACUAACGGCGUGGAGCACUGCAGCAACCGCAGGAGUAUUAACCAGUGAACACAACAUGCAGAAAUUCAAUGCAAUGCUAGUGCAUGCUGGACAGAGCAAGACAUCACAGCGAGUUGCCACAGAGACUGGGGCAGCUAGGGUGCUAACAGUUCCAAGCGACCCACUUCCUACAGCUGCACAGAUUCCUUCAGCUGCACAGACUCCUUCAGCGGCUACUGCUGCUGCCAGUGCUUCGGCUGCGGCUACUGUCGCGCAACUUGCUGCUGCUACUGUUGCACAACUUGCUGCUGCUACUGCUGCGGCUACUGCAACUGCUGCUGCUAGUGCUACUGCUGCUGCUGCUGUUACUGUUCUACAGCCUGCUGUUGUUACCCUCGACGACCACAUGUGUUUUCAACAGUGAGAGUUAAUGUGUAACGUUAAGACAGGUGCUAUCUAAGAUAGGUCACUAUCAUUAGGUUUUCCUGUAUCCUGCGUUUAGUUUGCGUAAUGUACACGGAAGCAGGCUCGUGCUAUAUUUACAACUCAUAAUAAGU